AGGAGGUGGACUUUGAGAGCAAGAUUUAUGAUUUUUUCCCCUUUUCCUCUUUUUCUGGUACCUGAGGAGUUGUAUACCUCCCUGAAGAUAUGUGCUCCAGACCCAUAAAUAUGCAGUUCACAGAGCCCACCACCAGAGGACAAUAAUGAAGUAAAAUCUUGAAACCAUGUAGUGAAAAUAGUGGGAGUUUAAAUAAAAGCAACAUUUCACAGUA